ACCCCCUGGCAGUGGGCAAAGAGAUACCUUAUUGGUGGUGCUGAUCUUUUAUCAGUCAGGGGCAGAGCAAAUGACAGUCCUUUGUUCAUCCUAGCUUGAUGCCUGCGACAGUGGCCAAAACUGUUUCAUGCCUAAGGCACAUUA
rnacentral:snoRNA from 1 species